ACAGCUACAGGAGGAAGAAGAGGAGCAGUGAGGGUGGCAGAAGCUUUUAAAAUUAAUCUGCUUUUUUGUCUAUUAAAAAAAAUGUUCUACCAAUUUAGAGAGGAACACGGGUUCUAAACUCCAGACUUCUGUUCACCUACAAUGUAAAAUUUAAAUAUCCAGUAACUCCAAGAAUUAUAUUUUAUAAGAUUUAUUAGUAAUAACUUGAAGUAGAAGAAAUACAAGAACAAAAGUAAAAACCUGAGUAAAGCCAUGUGAAUAAAGUUCUUCUGCUUGGCACUCACCCAACUGCCACAACCACCUUCCAGGGAACAGAGAGCAAGGGUGGAGAUCGAACUGUUUGCCAGCACUAGAAGGGGGAAGGGAAGGGAGGGAUCAAGACAAUUUGGAUCACAUAUCUUCAGAAAACUUAUGUGGAAAUUUAUUAUUACAUGGGCAAUAGGCGGAGUCAUUCGAGACAGAAGGCGAGCACUGAUAAUAGAAGGAAAGGUUUAUCAAUUAACUUCGGAGCAGCUUUGCUCUGACAACUACAGGACCCCUCCCCGCCAUUUCACUAGCAUCAUGCUUCGGAAGCUGCGCGAGAACACUUUGGGUUGUGGGACGCCUGCAACAAUGAAUUAUCAGUAAGUUGCAAUAGCUGUCAGGGCCUCUCAUGAAACAUACUAGCCUUGUCCCGACAAGGAAGUGACAGAUUUAAGAUCCACGAUAAAACAAACAUU